rnacentral:lncRNA from 1 species
AGACCCUAAAGAUCUUGGAGAAAUCAGGCGGAACAAGGGAUGAGGGGUUGUGGGAGACCAAAUCAGAGGAAUGCGACAGAAGAAAAUGGAGGAGAAAAGGCCCCUAAAUGGCAAGAAGAAACACAAAGGUUCCGGGACUAACCUAGAUCACUCUGAAGGAUGCAGAGGGACGAGGACAGGGACGACUCGAAGGACACCUAGGGCCAAGGAAGACGCCAAGGAGGGUCAGGGCUCUCGAAGA